GGAAUUUUGGACAAUGGGCGCAAGCCUGAUCCAGCCAUUCCGCGUGCAGGAUGAAGGCCCUCGGGUUGUAAACUGCUUUUGUACGGCACGAAAAGGCCUGAGUUAAUACCUCGGGCUCAUGACGGUACCGUAAGAAUAAGCACCGGCUAACUACGUGCCAGCAGCCGCGGUAAUACGUAGGUGGCAAGCGUUGUCCGGAUUUAUUGGGUUUAAAGGGUGCGUAGGCGGCCUUGUAAGUCAGUGCUGAAAUAUCCCGGCUUAACCGGGAGGGUGGCAUUGAUACUGCAGGGCUUGAGUGGAGUCGAGGUAGGCGGAAUUGACGGUGUAGCGGUGAAAUGCUUAGAUAUCGUCAAGAACACCGAUAGUGUAGACAGCUUACUAGGCUUCAACUGACGCUGAGGCACGAAAGUGUGGGGAUCAAAC
rnacentral:rRNA from 1 species